rnacentral:tRNA from 1 species
GAGGGUAUAGCUCAGUGGUAGAGCACAUGCAUAGCAUGCACAAGGUCCUGGUUUCAAUCUCUAGUAUCUCCA